AUCGCUUCUCGGCCUUUCGGCUAAGAUCAAGUGUAAAAUGCAUUUCAUACUAUCUUAUUUUUAUUUUUCAAGUCUGUUUAUUUAUUUUGAGGUGGGGAGAAGGAGCAGAGAGAGAGGGACAGAAGGAACCCCAAGCAAGCUCUGUGCUGUCAGUGGAGAGCCCAACGCAGGGCUCCAACU
ensembl:snRNA U2 U2 spliceosomal RNA